ACGCCUAAUACAUGCAAGUCGAACGAAGUAGCAAUACUUAGUGGCAGACGGGUGAGUAACAUGUGGGUAUCUUCCCUUUGGUGAGGAAUAACACGAGGAAACUUGUGCUAAUACCUCAUAAGUCUUUACGGAGAAAGCUUUAUGCGCCAUUGGAUGAGCCUGCACUUGAUUAGUUUGUUGGUGGGGUAAUGGCUUACCAAGACAAUGAUCAAUAGCUGAUUUGAGAGGAUGAUCAGCCACAUUGGGACUGAGACACGGCCCAAACUCCUACGGGAGGCAGCAGUAGGGAAUCUUGCACAAUGGGGGAAACCCUGAUGCAGCGAUGCCGCGUGAGUGAAGAAGGCCUUUGGGUUGUAAAGCUCUUUCGUCGGGGAAGAAAAUGACUGUACCCGAAUAAGAAGGUCCGGCUAACUUCGUGCCAGCAGCCGCGGUAAUACGAAGGGACCUAGCGUAGUUCGGAAUUACUGGGCUUAAAGAGUUCGUAGGUGGUUAAAAAAGUUGGUGGUGAAAUCCCAGAGCUUAACUCUGGAACUGCCAUCAAAACUUUUUAGCUAGAGUAUGAUAGAGGAAAGCAGAAUUUCUAGUGUAGAGGUGAAAUUCGUAGAUAUUAGAAAGAAUACCAAUUGCGAAGGCAGCUUUCUGGAUCAUUACUGACACUGAGGAACGAAAGCAUGGGUAGCGAAGAGGAUUAGAUACCCUCGUAGUCCAUGCCGUAAACGAUGUGUGUUAGACGUUGGAAAUUUAUUUUCAGUGUCGCAGCGAAAGCAAUAA
rnacentral:rRNA from 1 species